rnacentral:rRNA from 1 species
UAAGGUGGAAGUAUAGUGAUAUAUGGAGCUGAUAAGUACUAAUUGGUCGAGGGCUUAACC